GACGAACGCUGGCGGCGUGCCUAAUACAUGCAAGUAGGACGCACAGUCUAUACCGUAGCUUGCUACGCCAUAGGCUGUGAGUUGCGAACGGGUGAGUAACGCGUAGGUAACCUGCCUAUUAGAGGGGGAUAACUAUUGGAAACGAUAGCUAAUACCGCAUAACAGUAUGUAACACAUGUUAGAUGCUUGAAAGAUGCAAUUGCAUCGCUAGUAGAUGGACCUGCGUUGUAUUAGCUAGUAGGUAGGGUAAUGGCCUACCUAGGCGACGAUACAUAGCCGACCUGCGAGGGUGAUCCGCCACGCUGGGACUGGGACACGGCCCAGACUCCUACGGGAGGCAGCAGUAGGGAAUCUUCGGCAAUAGGGGGAACCCUGACCGAGCAACGCCGCGUGAGUGAAGAAGGUUUUCGGAUCGUAAAGCUCUGUUGUUAAGGAAGAACGAGUGUGAGAAUGGAAAGUUCAUACUGUGACGGUACUUAACCAGAAAGGGACGGCUAACUACGUG
rnacentral:rRNA from 1 species